AUACGGAGGGUGCAAGCGUUAAUCGGAAUUACUGGGCGUAAAGCGUACGUAGGCGGUUUAUUAAGUCAGAUGUGAAAGCCCCGGGCUUAACCUGGGAACUGCAUUUGAAACUAGUAGACUAGAGUAUGAUAGAGGGGGGUAGAAUUCCUGGUGUAGCGGUGAAAUGCGUAGAUAUCAGGAGGAAUACCAGUGGCGAAGGCGGCCCCCUGGAUCAAUACUGACGCUGAGGUACGAAAGCGUGGGGAGCGAACAGGAUUAGAUACCCCGGUAGUCC
rnacentral:rRNA from 1 species